rnacentral:rRNA from 1 species
CUCCUACGGGAGGCAGCAGUAGGGAAUCUUGCGCAAUGCGCGAAAGCGUGACGCAGCAACGCCGCGUGGGGGAAGAAGGGCCUUCGGGUUGUAAACCCCUUUCAGUUUGGGACGAAGUUCCGUGGGUUAAUAGGCCCACUGGAGUGACGGUACCUUCACAAGAAGCACCGGCUAACUACGUGCCAGCAGCCGCGUAAUUC